rnacentral:rRNA from 1 species
GAUGAACGCUGGCGGCGUGCCUAAUACAUGCAAGUCGAGCGGUAAGGCUCCUUCGGGAGUACACGAGCGGCGGACGGCUGAGUAACGCGUAGGAACGUACCCCAAACUGAGGGAUAACUGCUCGAAAGAGUAGCUAAUACCGCAUGUGCUCUACGGAGUAAAGCUACGGCGGUUUGGGAACGGCCUGCGUACGAUUAGAUUGUUGGUGAGGUAAUGGCUCACCAAGUCGACGAUCGUUAGCUGGUCUGAGAGGAUGAUCAGCCAGACUGGGACUGAGAACGGCCCAGACUCCUACGGGAGGCAGCAGUAGGGAAUUUUCCACAAUGGACGAAAGUCUGAUGGAGCAACGCCGCGUGCAGGAUGAAUGCCUUCGGGUUGUAAACUGCUUUUGUACGGGAGCAAUAAGGUCUACGAGUAGAUUGAUGAGAGUACUGUACGAAUAAGCAUCGGCUAACUCCGUGCCAGCAGCCGACGGUAAGAGUAGCGUA